rnacentral:rRNA from 1 species
GACGUAGGGGACGAGCGUUGUCCGGAUUCAUUGGGCGUAAAGCGCGCGUAGGCGGUUUGGUAAGUCGGGUGUGAAAUCUCGGGGCUUAACUCCGAAACUGCAUUCGAUACUGCCGUGCUUGAGGACUGGAGAGGAGACUGGAAUUUACGGUGUAGCGGUGAAAUGCGUAGAUAUCGUGAGGAAGACCAGUGGCGAAGGCGGGUCUCUGGACAGUUCCUGACGCUGAGGCACGAAGGCCAGGGGAGCAAACGGG